rnacentral:rRNA from 1 species
UACGGAGGGGGUUAGCGUUGUUCGGAAUGACUGGGCGUAAAGCGCGCGUAGGCGGAUCAGGAAGUUGGGGGUGAAAUCCCGGGGCUCAACCCCGGAAUGGCCUUCAAAACUCCUGGUCUUGAGUUCGAGAGAGGUGAGUGGAAUUCCGAGUGUAGAGGUGAAAUUCGUAGAUAUUCGGAGGAACACCAGUGGCGAAGGCGGCUCCACUGGCUCGACACUGACGCUGAGGUGCGAAAGCGUGGGGAGCAAACAGG